CCAGGACCCAUCGCCUCCCUUCCGCUUCCGGCCUUCUGCGGGGCGGUGGCGGGAGAGGAGUGACGACAGUAUGUUGCGGCGACCGGCGUGGCAGGUGUUUCGCCAGUUUGUAAGACAUGAGUCUGAUACAGCCAGCUCGUUGGUUCUCGAAAGAUCCAUGAAUCGUGUUCAGUUACUGGGUCGGGUUGGACAGGACCCCAUCAUGAGGCAAGUGGAUGGAAAAAACCCCGUUACCAUAUUUUCUCUUGCAACCAAUGAGAUGUGGCGAACAGGGGAAAGUGACGUAACCCAGGGAGGAGGCGAUAUCAGUCAGAAGACGACAUGGCACAGGAUCUCUGUCUUCAGACCGGGCCUCAGGGAUCUUACGUAUCAGUAUGUGAAGAAGGGUGCUCGACUCUACGUUGAAGGGAAGAUAGACUAUGGUGAAUAUACAGAUAAAAACAAUGUGAGGCGGCAGGCCACAACAAUCAUAGCAGGGCAUUUUUUUCUUCCUGUUAAGACUGGAGGCUUCGCCAACUUUAAGGACACCUGUUUGUUUAUCCCCACAUAAAACAUCAAAAGUCAAGAUAACUUGAUGGAGAAUUUAGAAGGACCUUGGUCUGGUAGCCAGGAGUGAUAAUGUAAUUUUUCUGAGUGAUGGUGGUAUGAAAGAAAAGGUGUGAGGUUGUUAGUGCCUGGACCCAGGCCAUUUCAUUCCUUUUAACAGUGCUUCAUAAUUCUGUAAUCGUGUAUAUUGCUGUAGUUUCUUUAAAAAAUAAAUAAAAUGUUUGAUACCUA